GGGGAGUUGCCGAGGAGAGCGGUUAGAGGUGGGAGUUGGCGCUGAGGGUCGGGCGGGGACAGCGGGCUGCGAUGCGGACCGGGCCGCGGCGGUGACCGGAGUUGCCGCCCGACAUGAACUCGCUGGAACAGGCGGAAGAUCUCAAGGCUUUUGAGAGAAGACUUACCGAAUAUAUUCAUUGCUUGCAACCUGCCACUGGGCGUUGGAGAAUGCUUCUUAUAGUGGUGUCUGUCUGUACAGCUACUGGUGCCUGGAACUGGCUAAUAGAUCCUGAGACACAAAAGGUGUCCUUCUUCACGUCAUUAUGGAAUCAUCCAUUUUUCACAAUUAGCUGUAUUACUCUAAUAGGCUUGUUCUUUGCGGGAAUACACAAGAGAGUAGUUGCACCAUCAAUUAUAGCUGCUCGAUGUCGAACAAUAUUAGCAGAAUACAAUAUGUCUUGCGAUGAUAUCCCUAUACUUCACAUGGUGUCUGGCACAUGGUAGAUAACCAAGCAGUGCUGAACAAACGUGUUAGUGACAUCUUUGUGUGAAUUCUUCCACCUGAACCUAGUUUCCUUCAGGUAAACGUCUAGGAGUAAAAGUUUACUUUUAUGACAGGAAAACUAAUUUUGAAACCUAGGCCUCAUGUUCAAUGACAGUCUGCACUCAUUGUUAGGGGACCUGAAACAGUUUUUCUUCCAAGAAGUGAUACAACAAAAAGCCAUAGAGGAUUCCUUUGGGAGCUGGAUAAGUGGAGCUGCGGUAGCAGCUGACAAGAAGUGUGCAAUAGUCCCCAGACUGUUGUGAUGAUGAUGGCUGACCUCUCAGUGCUUCUCUACCUGUGAUUACCUGUGCUCAGUAUUAGUGUCACUUUAGUACUUCAGCUCCUGCAAAGAUUUUUGCAGCUGAAGUGUGUAUGUAUGUUACUAAGUUAAACCUAGAAACCAAACCACAUUCAGUUUUUAUAAUGUAUUUUUGCAAACUACUGUAAAUAGCAAAUCAAUGCCAAUGUAAAACCAAGAGGAAAAUGUGUGGACUCUGUUUUCCUGCACCAGUAUUUCAGGAACAUCUGCUUGACAUCCCUACAGCUCCUUAAAACUGGCUAUUGUGUGUGCCUUUCAUUCUUAACCCCUCUUUUUGUUGCACUGCAGGAAAAAUAUCAAAUUCCACUUCAACUGAGCAGAACUCAUCUCCAUUAUGUUGUAAGAAAUUGUAGAUGUUUCGACAAACAAGUUUUGUUAAAUUCAGUACUGAAUUCCAGAAACUAUUGUGGUUAUAUUUUUCAGUUCAUUGUUUUCAUUUAACACUAAAUUACUUUAUAUGUUUUUUAAGAAUUAAAAAAAAGCCCAAAGUCUUCUGAUUCUAAAAGUUUAAAUUAUGUAUUGUCUGAGAAUUUGACGGUCAUCAUUUUAGGUAAUUGGAUUUUACGCUGUGGUAGACAUGUCAUUACACUAGUCCUGCCCUGGUGUAGCUGAUGGUUCCAGUCCAUCGCCACUAACUUGAGAGCCAUGCCACAAACUAAAGUCUGCAGUACUCACUGUUAAGGAGUGUUAAUGACAUACUGUGUAUGUGUAACAGCCAUCUGUACUAUAGUAGCCCUGAAAAUUAAACUAUUGGGAUUCUUGUAAAUAUUUUAAAGUACUGGAGGUGCCUUUUAACCUGUUUAUUAGAUUUUUGAAAAGGUUUAAAUUAUUUCAUGAGAAAUGUUUUAAAUUUCAUCUAACAUGAAGCUGAAAUUUGAAUAAUAGGACAAAAACUUUUUAAUAAAGCUGCCAUUUAACUUGCCUGAUUUCAUCUUGGCUUUCAUGUGUAUAAAACUGCAUUCUUUUAACUGCAGCAAUAAAACCCGCAGCUGCUGAGAAGUCUUAAGAGGAUGUUGUAUGUUCUGCUUUUAUAUUCUGUAAAUUUUGUAGGUAAAUAUGUGCAUAAGAAUAAAUACUUUAUAUAUAACUAG